UGGGGAAUAUUGGACAAUGGGCGCAAGCCUGAUCCAGCCAUGCCGCGUGAGUGAUGAAGGCCUUAGGGUUGUAAAGCUCUUUCAGUAGGGAAGAUAAUGACGGUACCUACAGAAGAAGCCCCGGCUAACUUCGUGCCAGCAGCCGCGGUAAUACGAAGGGGGCUAGCGUUGUUCGGAUUUACUGGGCGUAAAGCGCACGUAGGCGGUUUGUUAAGUCAGGGGUGAAAUCCCGGAGCUCAACUCCGGAACUGCCCUUGAUACUGGCAAGCUAGAGUCCGGAAGAGGUGAGUGGAACUCCUAGUGUAGAGGUGGAAUUCGUAGAUAUUAGGAAGAACACCAGUGGCGAAGGCGGCUCACUGGUCCGGAACUGACGCUGAGGUGCGAAAGCGUGGGGAGCAAACAGG
rnacentral:rRNA from 1 species